CAAAGGGAGAAAAGCUUCUCUAGGAAGAUACUUUCUGAGAAUGAGGACUUUCUUUGGCAUGUGCCAUGUCCAUCAUCAUUACAGGGUUCGGAACAUGAGGCUGAGGACCAGGCUGUCCCCUGCAUCCUCUGCAUCCCUUGCAGCUGACAGGAUACGUGACUCUGUCCUAGAAAGAGGUGCAAGAUGGAAGAUUGGUCACAUUCAUUAAAAAAACCUCCAAGCAAACAAACCAGAAACAUGUCAGUCAAAGCAACAGGUUCUGGAACACCUGCUGGAAGCAGCUUAGAAAAGCUGAGAGGUCUGAAGAGAGAGAAUGAAACUGAGAUCAAAACAGAGGAUUACAUGCUGAGACCUGUUGUCUUCCAAGCCCUCAUCUAAUUCCUGCAAACUGUGCUGUGGAAUCUGGGGAGGCACAGUAUGGCUACCUGCCACAGGAAAGCUUCGAGCGAGAUGCUUCAUUAACCUACCGUGACACGCAAUUUACU